AUUCUGAAUUUGGCUUCUCCAAACAAUUAUAACCCUCCACAGAUAUUGCAUAACAUCACUGAGCAUGUGUGGUUUUCUUAUAUAAUUCCUGGUUGCAAAGCAGAGCUCUAGGCUGGAAGCCAAGUCACACAGGGUAUGAGCAGCUUCAGAAAUAACCACCAUUCAGGUUUGUUUACUGCAAGGAGCUCUCAAAGGAAACCAUCAAAUUAAGGAAAACAAAGUUGAGAUGCUGGAGUGGAGCACAGAGAAGCAACAGGAAGACGAGAUUUUCAUCACUGCAAUGUCUUCUACAGGUUUUCCUGCUGUACCUGCAGGAAGAAAAUCUCUUGGCAAGCAGCUGUUUAUGGAUUUCUUUUAUUCUAUUUGGACCAUACUGCUUCCUGCUGAAAAUGAGCAACUGACUUCACUGGAAACUUUCUACAAUUUGUUCAGGUUUAUAAUUUUAAAGGAGAGAGAAGAUUCUGAAGAUGUGAAAUAACUAUUUGUGGGUCUCUAAGUUUACUCUGAGUCUCUGAAGUUAUUCCAUAAUAUACCAGUGGGGUAUCAUGCUAAUUCAUAUUUCUGCAUUCUCUGUGUUCAGUCUCAUAGGGUGAAAAGAUGCAGACAAGGUUCCCUGAAUAAUGCACAGGGAUCAUCCUUUGGAUGCAAGCAUCUGGCUAAAAAAAAGAGAUUUUUUCUAGAGAAGAUGCAGCAGAAGUAUCUUCCAUCCAAACAUACACACUUCUGAAGGCUGAUAUAGUCUAAUCUUCCUGAACACACAAAAAAAUCAAAUAGUAGGAGUUUUCUCCUUUGCCUUUGCCUCCAGCCCACAUCUUGAACUCUGGUAAAUAAUCUCACUUUCUCUUUCUGGACUUCUGCCCCAUGUCUGUAUGUCCUCUGCUUCCCACCCCUCACUUCAGCAAACAUUCCUCACUGGCCAGGCACUUGCCUGUGCUGUUUGGGUGAUGACAUGUUUCUUGGCUUUGAUUUGGAGCCUGCUAUAAUUUCAUAAGUGACUGUAAGUGCUUCUUCUCAGCUCUCUGGAACGAAGGGCAGCUGUUACACCUUGGGCCUCAAUAACAUUUUGUCCAGCCAAGACCAACUUCAUCACCUCAUUGAGCCAGCACUGCUCCUGAACACUCUGUUGGCUUCUCCUCUGGACUCAGCAUCCUUCUGAGUCUGCUGUUUUCCUCUUCUCCCUUUGCUCUGUACUUCCUUCAUCUCAAACAGACACAAAUAUACUCAUGAACAAUAUUACUGAAAUCCCCUUCAAUGCUUGCUUUUCCUUCCUUAAAACCUGACUGUAUUUGGGAUGGAGGCUGCUGUUGUUUCAGCUCUUUGGUUCCAUGCUAUUGCUUGCAUUAAUCAUUUCAAGUAGUGGAUAAUUUUAACUCCCAGAAACCUACCUGAUUUUUUUUUCAAUUUAUUUGCUCAUACAGACUAACAGCUUGGAUGUUUGCUGGAUUCUGAGCAACAGAACCUGCCCCAUGUGACACCCAGUGUUUUUACAGAAGUUUUUCUCCUCACUGUUAACAGUUUUCAAUAGAGAACCUCUUAAAACAAAAGUAGGCAAAAUUGUAGCCAUCAUGCUGUAGAAAUCAUGCAUGUUUGGUCCUGGAGCAGCAGAUCAGGAGCAAAACCUGGCUGAGUUUUUACCUCUGACUUGAAGGGAACUAUCAGAGGGCAUAUCAGAGAAGGCAAAGAUGAAUGGGAGAAGGAUUCCUAGAACAGUAGAAGAAUUCCUGCUUUACAAACUCUUUUUAGAGGAACAGCACUAGUUCUUCAAAGAAAGGAAUGGCUCUGCUGCCAAGUGUUUCAGAAUAUUAAUGAUCCAGUUUUUGCCAAGGGCUUGGAAACAGAACAAUGGAAUAGUUUGGGUUGGAGAGACCUUUAAAGGUCAUCUAGUCCAAACCCCCUGCUGUAAGCAGAGACAUCUGUAAUUCCAACAGGUUGUUCAGACUCCUGCCCAAACUCACCCAUAAUGUUUCCAGGGAUGGGGUUUCUGCCACUACAGAGACUCAGCUCUGGUAAAUCACUUGGGAAUCCUCUCCCUGACCUCGGCUCCUAUCUAGACCAGAUCUCAACAGAGAUUUUAAUAGAUUUCUUCAGAAAAGCAUCAGAAACAGUUUCAAUUCAGUGCUGGGAAAUGAGACACUAGUACUAACAGAUUUAAUAUUCAUCUUGUCACAUACAAGGUUGCCCUACUGAUCUUUGAGCUGCUCACAUAAAAAGCAUCCUAUCGAGUUUCUGCUGAAAUCUCUUGAAUGCUCAGCAGCACAACCAUGCAGAGAAAUAUACAGAACAGGAAAUUACUUUUCCCCAAAAUUUUGAUGCACUGUUUACAGAUAAAUGGCAAAAUACAGUAAAUAUAUGUUUAUGAGCAGAUUCGAUUGUAUACUUAUAAAAAUAUUAAUCUUAGAAACAUUUUAUUUGAAAUUUCUGAAUAUUAAAACAUAAAUGAAAUUUUAUUAUCUAUCUGUACUCAACUUUGUUUGAAAUGCUAUUAAAGCUUCAAGCUGUUUAAACAAUAAUACUCUGGAUGUCUAGAAAGCCUUCCAGGCUUCAUGAGGGCUUUUUUCAGGCUCCUCAUAGACAUUUAUUAAAGCCGAGAGAAACUCUGUGUUCUUGGUACUAAUUACACCUAUUUAAUACUAUUUUACAUGCUACAUCUGAGGUCAAACAGCAAACCAGUAACAAAACCAGUGUCAGAAUUGGUAUAUCAGAACUCCUGAGAGCUGCCUGAGCUAUUGGACAUUGUCUUCCAGCAGACCAUACUAUCAGUCAUAGAAAAUAACUUUGAUUGCUCAGAGAACCAUCUGAGUACAGUUACUAUUAACACGUAUCAAAAAAAGGCUGUGUAAGCAGACUGAAGGAAAACCCCCCAAAGUUGCAAAUGUGCUAUUGACAGGCAAUUUCAUUAAAUCUGGUUUCACUUUAUUUGGGUUAUAUAUUCCAUUUCAUAAAAACCUUAUCGUAAAGAUCUAAAUCUGUGAAGAAAGACAUUAAGCAAUUCUUUAUUAUCUCUGCUGGUCCAUUAAAAUAAAUCACUUCUAUCCCUUCCCCUAUUAUUCCAGGGAGUGCAAGGGCUGAUGUAUUUUGGCAUAAUUGCUUUGGCAUCCCAGGUUUAUUCUGUCACUGCUGUUGUGCAAGUGCAAUAUUAAAGGAGUAAUCAUCUUUUUUAUGUAUGGCCCAUCACCGUGGUAUGGAAGCAAUAUACAGUCUGCAGAUUUUGUAAUAGGUAAACUUUUUAAAAAUUUUAUUGGCAAUUUUUUUGAUAAAGACACAUGUCAGACUGCACCCAGUUUAUUCACACACUGUAAGGUGUUCUCUGGCUUCCUAAUUUAUUAAAAAUGGUCAUUUGUUACACUGACAACUAAGGAAAACAGAUUACUUAGAAGUUAUGAUGGGGUAAUUCUGCUUCUUGGAGCCUCUGCAAUGAAUCACCAUUUUCCCUCCCUCCCUUGACCUAAUUUCAAAAUCAUAUACCUGUGUAAAAUAUUGUGAUGAGAAUUGUGUCUAAUUAUCUUCUAAAUUUUUCUUUUAAUUGCUAGAAGGAUACCCAUUCUUGAAUAAGGGAGGUAUUAAUGAUGUAAUAGUGUUAGAGAGUCCUUGAAAUCUAGAUUAAUUAUUAGUUGUGUGGACUUCUGAGAGUUUUUGAUGUAUUCAUUUGCAUUCACAAAGAUGGCUUUUUAAUUAAAGAGAGUUUUUGAACUUA